rnacentral:rRNA from 1 species
UGGGGAAUUUUGGACAAUGGGCGAAAGCCUGAUCCAGCCAUGCCGCGUGAGUGAAGAAGGCCUUCGGGUUGUAAAGCUCCUUUAGUCGGAAAGAAAGAGUUGCAAUGAAUAAUUGUGAUUUAUGACGGUACCGACAGAAAAAGCACCGGCUAACUACGUGCCAGCAGCCGCGGUAAUACGUAGGGUGCGAGCGUUAAUCGGAAUUACUGGGCGUAAAGGGUGCGCAGGCGGUCUUGCAAGUCAGAUGUGAAAGCCCCGGGCUUAACCUGGGAAUUGCGUUUGAAACUACAAGACUAGAGUGCAGCAGAGGGGAGUGGAAUUCCAUGUGUAGCAGUGAAAUGCGUAGAGAUGUGGAAGAACACCGAUGGCGAAGGCAGCUCCCUGGGUCGACACUGACGCUCAUGCACGAAAGCGUGGGGAGCAAACA